rnacentral:rRNA from 1 species
GACGAACGCUGGCGGCGUGCCUAAUACAUGCAAGUCGAACGCAGUGGGGACGGGUGAGUAACACGUGGGUAACCUCCCAUCAGAGGGGAUAACACUUGGAAACAGGUGAUAAACCGAUACUGAUGGAUGAACCCAUAUGGGAUUAGCUGGUAGGUGGGGUAAUGGCUCACAUAGGCGACGAUCCCUAGCUGGUCUGAGAGGAUGAUCAGCCACAGUGGGACUGAGACACGGCCCAGACUCCUACGGGAGGCAGCAGUGGGGAAUAUUGCACAAUGGGCGCAAGCCUGAUGCAGCCAUGCCGCGUGUAUGAAGACGGUCUUCGGAUUGUAAACUUCUUUAGACAGGGACGCGGUACCUGUAGAAUAAGCCACGGCUAACUACGUGCCAGCAGCCGCGGUAAUUC